GGCAGGUGGCUCAGCCGUGUGCUGCCGCCAGUCUGCUUCCCUGGCCGGAAGGGGCCUGCCAGCCAGAGCCCCUGGUGCCCUGACACUCCCACCCACCUCCACAGUCACUGUGUUUGCUGCUGGCCGCUCAUAAGCAGCACCCAGCUUCCCCUCACGUUUCCCCAGGGUCCAGCCAGGCCUGGGAUGAAGACAGGAACGGAAGUGUUGCCAGAUGAACAGGCAGGCUUGAGCAGCUUGGCAGGGCAUCCCGGAGCUUCCCGAAGGAGCCGCUGCGCCGCAAGGAGCCACUGCCGUCCUGCAGGGAGGCCGACAGGAGGAGCGCUCCGGCAGAUGACUGCAGUCAGGGAGAAGCCUCACCGGUAGACCAGCGCCAGGAUGUUCAGCAUGGUGGCCAC